GACGAACGCUGGCGGCGUGCUUAACACAUGCAAGUCGAACGGAAAGGCCCUUCGGGGUACUCGAGUGGCGAACGGGUGAGUAACACGUGGGUGAUCUGCCCUGCACUUUGGGAUAAGCCUGGGAAACUGGGUCUAAUACCGAAUAGGACCACGCGCUUCAUGGUGUGUGGUGGAAAGCUUUUGCGGUGUGGGUUGGGCCCGCGGCCUAUCAGCUUGUUGGUGGGGUAAUGGCCUACCAAGGCGACGACGGGUAGCCGGCCUGAGAGGGUGACCGGCCACACUGGGACUGAGAUACGGCCCAGACUCCUACGGGAGGCAGCAGUGGGGAAUAUUGCACAAUGGGCGCAAGCCUGAUGCAGCGACGCCGCGUGAGGGAUGACGGCCUUCGGGUUGUAAACCUCUUUCAAUAGGGACGAAGCGCAAGUGACGGUACCUAUAGAAGAAGCACCGGCCAACUACGUG
rnacentral:rRNA from 1 species